GGGGUUUGGGAGUGUUUAUUUUAUGUCAAGCAUUUGCAGACCGAUUAGCUUGGAUCUCGAUCCUAUAUAUAUUAUUUUGUAGGGUAACCAAAGAAUCUAGGAGACAUAACUUCUACCAUGCUAAAGAACAAGAGUUGUUCGGCAUUCCUUUCAGAAAAAGAAUACCUUGGUAAAGGUACUGAUACCUUUAAUGUGAAACUUAUGAAGUUCGACAAAUAGAAGAACCGACACAAUCUAGUGAACCCAUAGAAACA
rnacentral:lncRNA from 1 species